rnacentral:rRNA from 1 species
UAGGGAAUCUUCCGCAAUGGACGAAAGUCUGACGGAGCAACGCCGCGUGAGUGAAGAAGGAUUUCGGUUCGUAAAACUCUGUUGUUAGGGAAGAAAAAAUGUAUAGUAACUAUAUACAAAAGAGACGGUACCUAACCAGAAAGCCACGGCUAACUACGUGCCAGCAGCCGCGGUAAUACGUAGGUGGCAAGCGUUGUUCGGAAUUAUUGGGCGUAAAGCGCGCGCAGGUGGUUUAGAAAGUCUGAUGUGAAAGCCCACGGCUCAACCGUGGAGGGUCAUUGGAAACUAAUAAACUUGAGUGCAGGAGAGAAAAGUGGAAUUCCUAGUGUAGCGGUGAAAUGCGUAGAGAUUAGGAGGAACACCGGUGGCGAAAGCGGCUUUUUGGCCUGCAACUGACACUGAGGCGCGAAAGCGUGGGGAGCAAACAGG